rnacentral:rRNA from 1 species
AUGUCUAGCGCUAAUCCUAGCGAGAUUGAUCCAUUUGACAGUGUCUACUCAAACAUCCCAGAUAGCACUCACAUCCUGAAACUCGCUGAAAAUUGCAAACACUGCAAGGCCAGGAAGUUUGAGUUUGAGACUGACGGGUUCUGCUGUCGCAAUGGCCAGAUUCAGCUUAAGAAACCGGAACCAAACCCAGAGCUUAUGAGGCUAUGGUCGAGCAUGGAUGCAGAUUCUAGACAUUUUCGAGAGAACAUACGGUUCUUCAACGGGCAUUUCGCCUUCACAACCCUUGGCGUCAGCCUUGAUGAAAACUACACAAACAUGAAGUCUGAGGUGUACACAUUCCGAGCACACGGCACCAUCUACCACAACGUGCAUUCGUUCGGGCCAAGCUCCCGUCCAGAACAUCUGCAGUUGUACUUCUAUGAUGACGACCCAAACCUAACUCAUCGUAAGGCGGCCACCAAGCAAUUAGACCAGGAUGUCGUGAAGGGUUUGGUAGACAUACUCAAAGAAAACCCAUACUCCCAGCAAUUUAGGAGUUUGGGUGCACACAAGGACAACCUCGAUGAUUAUAGGAUAGACCUAAACACCGAUAAGAGGCUUGACCAAAGAAGAUAUAAUAGACCGGUGUCAUCUGAGGUCGCUGCAAUUUGGGUUGAGGGCAAUGACCUAGCCAAAAGGUUUGACCGCAGGAUAACACUUUGUGGUUAG